rnacentral:tRNA from 1 species
GCCUCCCUAGCUCAAUGGCAGAGCACGUGUUUUGUAAACACAAGACAGUAGUUCGAUUCUACUGGGAGGCU